GUAGGUGAACCUGCGGAGGGAUCAUUACUGAGUGAGCGCUCUCGGGCGCGACCUCCAACCCCAUUGUUAUCCGACCCUGUUGCCUCGGGGGUGACCCGGCCUUCGGGCUCGGGGCCCCCGGUGGACCCCAAUCAAACACUGCAUCUUUGCGUCUGAGUGAUUACUACAAUCAAAUCAAAACUUUCAACAACGGAUCUCUUGGUUCUG
rnacentral:misc_RNA from 1 species